GUUUACCUUAAAUUCUUUCAAAGACGAACAAUCGUAAGAACAGAUAUCCACGACAAGUCACAUGACAUGGUUAAAAGAACUUGAGUCAAUAAUGACACGCUGUGCAGUAGCUUAAAACAGAUAGCUGUCUUUUUAUGCUCUAUCUGGGCAAAUAAGUUCAAUUAAAAAUUAAAAUGGAAUCCCAAUGGAUGAUGAAGAAGAAUCUACAAAUACAGAGAGGCAUAGAGGAUCUGUGGAUAAAAAGUUGUGCGAUAUUACCGAAUGGAAAGUUAAUCUUCGUAGACCAGGGUAAUAACAGGUUAAUAUUGCACCACCAAACUGGUUCCUUUGACAAAGAGGUUAAGCUACAAUAUACUCCAUUCGAUAUAACCGUCAUCAAACCGGAAAUGUAUGCUAUUACAUUCGGAAAGUACCGAACCCUACAGAUUUUUGACACGACAGAGCACACGCUUUGCCAUGACAUAAAAUUUGGAAAAAGCUGCUGGGGUGUAUCUUACUGUGAUGGAAAAUUAUAUGUAGUUGUUUUUCAGAAAGGAAUAGAAGUUCUGAAUCUGUUCGGUAUGAGGAUAAGAACUAUUGAAGUAGAAGUUCUAAUCGAAAAAGGCUGCUACUGCACCGUCGAUAAAGAUAGAAUUUACUAUACAGGCAACUUUUGGGGCGUUGUAAAUUGUUGUGACUUAGAAGGUCGGCCGAAUUGGCAAUUUAAUGACGAUAUUUUAGCAUCUCCUUGUACUAUUUCUGUUUUGACUAAUGGAGAUAUUUUUGUCGUCGGCUACGAAUCUCACAAUGUCGUCUCCAUCAGUCGUGAUGGAAAAAGAAGAAAGGUUAUUCUUCGACAGAGUGAUGGUUUAAAUUAUCCGGAGGCCAUUUACUAUGACCUAGCAAGAAAAUGUUUGUUAGUUGCGAAUUCCUGGGGAGGGACUGCCAUUUUGUAUAACAUAGUAUGAUAAGGGUUUACUAAAGUGAUGUAUUUAGUAUUAAAUUAUACUUUUAAAUUUUUGUUCUUCUGCAAACUGAUAGUUUUCAUAAACCGUCUAUGAUUUUAAAACUGUAAUGAGCUAUAUUUUUUUUAACUAAGUCUUGUUCUUAUUUGUCAAACAGAGCCCCUAAGAGGAUAAGGGAUGUAAAAUUUAGCUACCCGUAAGCCAAUAUGACAAUGACGAUAAAUAUAUUUCUUAGCCUGUUCUUUCUAAAAAGUUUGUUUUUAAUUUUUUAUUACAAAACUAUCCAUUAAGGCUAUCUUAGUUUAGAGAGAAUUUGUAUGCUCAUUCAUGACAGGUUUCCAGUUUGGUAUAAACUUGACCAGUCAAAAGUGUAGCAAGUUAUUUGUGAAAAAAGGGCUUAAACUCGAUUUAUGAAGACUCUCAGUAUAUGUCAGUAGCACUCGAAAAUAGACAUUGAACAUCAAUUGUCCGUUUCAGUAUCUUCAGUGGAAAAUUUAUUAUAUUGUACACCAAAAUAAAAAUAACGUAACGCCAUUGAUCAAAUAUACCAUAUUUGUUUAUAUAAUUUCUAACCAGUCACAAUGUUUAGGUGUUCGCUUUUAAACAUCUAAUCAAAAUUUCAUUGAAUUCUGAAAACAAAAGUAUUGAUAAUAAUGUUUUCAAUUCUCUUGAUCUUAUUAAAGUGUCAACUUUAAUGGCUAUGUGUUAUGUCUUUUGAAAAGAUAAAACAAAACAAAAAUAAUUCAUUGUUGGAAGUAAACUUAUUUUGUAUUAUACUGAGACUUUUGCAUGUUUUGUUUUAUACUUAUUAUUAAACAAAAGGAACAUA